CCCAUGAUUAAUAGCUCUCUCAUGGUCUGUUCUGUUGUGCUCGUGAACACAUCUCAGUGUGUAAUUAAUGCUAUCUCUCCGUACCCAACCCUUGUCCUUCCCCAGAGACAAAAGCUUGCCACUUCCAGAAGGCUCUGGGUGAAUGCUUUGGCACCUACCUGCGUUACUACUACGACCCCAUCCAUGAGAAGUGUAAGAAGUUCCACUGGACUGGCUGUGUGGGGAACGGGAACAGGUUCAUCGACCAUCAGGCCUGCAACGCCACCUGCGCUGGGAUUCAUGAUGAGGGUACUGAAAAGGAGGAGGAUGAACCCGAUACUCCUGUUGCCAUGAUUCUAGGAGUGGUGUUUGGGAUCACUGGAGCAAUACUCAUCAUAGUCAUUGUUGUCCUGGCCAUGCAGAGCAAGAAGAAUCACAAAAGUGAACUAAAGAAAGUGAAAGAAGUCAAGCAGGAGACACCACUGCAAGAAGAACCAGUUGAGAUGGCGUAGAGAAGACAACCACGAAAGGAAAUUAGAAUGACUAGAACGCAUGAUUUCAUUCAAGUCAACGUCCAUGAUGAGUUGACGGGCAGCCAUAUUGAGUGUACCAAUGCCAGUCAUUCUUAUUGUAGGGGAAAAACCAGCUAGGGCCCUCACCUGAAUGGUCCCUCUCAGGGUGAUAUAGAGUAACAUAGGCCUACAGUUGCAACUAUCAAACUUACAAUUCAAUAUAAUAUUUACCUCAUUUGUUGUUAUCAGACUAUUCACAAAAAAAUACAAAUCUGGGAUGACAAUAUCGUAUCUGACUUCCCCCUCACAAAUGUACGCCAGGCUAUUUCCUCAUGGUUAUGUUUGACAUCUCAGUUAUUUUACAACAUUUAUAAUGUUUUUUUGUACACUCUCCUCUUUUACAAUAAGAAUGUAUGUUUAUUUCAGGUAAAUUUGGUAACUACUCAAAUAUUCUCCACAGAUUUGAAAGAAUAAUCACUAUUCUUCAUCAAUUAGAUUCAAGUUUGUCUGUUAUUGAACUACUGAGUGUGCAACAAGAUUUUUCUGAUAUUGUAAUAGUUUUUAAAUGUGUUGUCUUUUAUGUGCUACGAUAGGUUUGUGUUUGCUCUGUAUCAACAUUAUAAUAAUAAUAAUAUCAACAUUAUAAUAAUAAUAUCAACAUUAUAAUAAUAAUAAUAAUAUCAACAUUCACAUGGGUUUGUAGAAGCUACUAAAUGGUAUGUUUUUGUAGGACAUGAUAUGAGAAUAAACCAAUACACUGUUUUAAAA